UAUUCAUCCACUGGUCCCUUGGCCAUGGGCCAAGGGUUGCCUGGUGGUGGUGAGAAACUGAUUUUGCAACAUUGCUAAACUAGCAGACUGGAGAGAUGCUCACAAUUCUCAGAUGAUAUGAGUGUUUCUCUGCAUGGGCAUCAGAGCUGCCACUGCUUGACAUUCCAAGAACUUCCCAGCUACAGGUUCAUCACCUUCUCCUCCCAGGAAAGACAUGUGAGAUUCUGCACAGAGACAGGAAUGUCGUGCCAAAGAGCCUGAAGUCAUGCCAGUGGUGGAGUGCUGAUUGGAACAGACUGGGUUUGGAUGACAUCUCUACUCAUCUGUAAUGGAAGCUGUGUCAAAGCUGGGGGAUGCCAGCUGCCAUAUUGUGAAGACCCUCAAGCAUCCCUGUGGAGAGGUCCCCAUGGCACAGAAAUGGACUCUCAGCCCAAAAGCCAACAAAGAACCAAGGCCUCAAGCCAGCAGCCAUGGGAAUGGGAAUGUGCCAUCUUGGAAGCCAAUCCUGCAGCCCCAGUCAAGCCUUCAGAUGACAGUAG
rnacentral:lncRNA from 10 species